rnacentral:rRNA from 1 species
CUGCGAAUGGCUCAUUAAAUCAGUUAUCGUUUAUUUGAUAGUACCUCAUUACUUGGAUAACCGUGGUAAUUCUAGAGCUAAUACAUGCUGAAAACCCCAACUUCGGAAGGGGUGUAUUUAUUAGAUAAAAAACCAAUGCCCUUCGGGGCUUCUUGGUGAUUCAUGAUAACUAAACGGAUCGCAUGGCCUUGCGCCGGCGACGGUUCAUUCAAAUUUCUGCCCUAUCAACUUUCGAUGGUAAGGUAUUGGCUUACCAUGGUUUCAACGGGUAACGGGGAAUUAGGGUUCGAUUCCGGAGAGGGAGCCUGAGAAACGGCUACCACAUCCAAGGAAGGCAGCAGGCGCGCAAAUUACCCAAUCCCGACACGGGGAGGUAGUGACAAUAAAUACUGAUACAGGGCUCUUUUGGGUCUUGUAAUUGGAAUGAGUACAAUUUAAACCUCUUAACGAGGAACAAUUGGAGGGCAAGUCUGGUGCCAGCAGCCGCGGUAAUUCCAGCUCCAAUAGCGUAUAUUAAAGUUGUUGCAGUUAAAAAGCUCGUAGUUGAACCUUGGGCCUGGCUGGCAGGUCCGCCUCACCGCGUGUACUUGACCGGCCGGGCCUUUCCUUCUGGAGAACCUCAUGCCCUUCACUGGGUGUGCUGGGGAACCAGGACUUUUACUUUGAAAAAAUUAGAGUGUUCAAAGCAGGCCUUUGCUCGAAUACGUUAGCAUGGAAUAAUAGAAUAGGACGUGCGGUCCUAUUUUGUUGGUUUCUAGGACCGCCGUAAUGAUUAAUAGGGACAGUCGGGGGCAUCAGUAUUCAAUUGUCAGAGGUGAAAUUCUUGGAUUUAUUGAAGACUAACUACUGCGAAAGCAUUUGCCAAGGAUGUUUUCAUUAAUCAGUGAACGAAAGUUAGGGGAUCGAAGACGAUCAGAUACCGUCGUAGUCUUAACCGUAAACUAUGCCGACUAGGGAUCGGGCGAUGUUCUCAUUUUGACUCGCUCGGCACCUUAC